rnacentral:rRNA from 1 species
GUGCUUAAGACAUGCAAGUCGAGCGAGAAAGGGGCUUCGGCCCUGAGUACAGCGGCGCACGGGUGCGUAACACGUGGGUAAUCUGCCUUCGGGUUCGGGAUAACGCGGGGAAACCUGCGCUAAUACCGGGCAAGACCACGAGGUCCUCGGAUCUUGCGGUAAAAGAUGGCCUCUUCUUGAAAGCUAUCGCCUGAAGAUGAGCCCGCGCCCCAUUAGCUAGUUGGCGAGGUAACGGCUCACCAAGGCAGUGAUGGGUAGCUGGUCUGAGAGGACGACCAGCCACACUGGAACUGAGACACGGUCCAG